rnacentral:lncRNA from 10 species
GAAGGAGCCCGGGGAGGGAGGGGGAGGGGCCGGGAGCUGGGGGUAAGGGAGGAGUGAGCCUGGGUGCUGUGGGGGGAGGGGGUUGUUCAAGGGAUGGGGACGAUCAGGGUCUCUGGGAAGUGCUGACGUGUGCGCGUGUGCGGUGUGUUGCUUGUGGGUGCGUGUGUGGUGUGUGCAUGUGUGUGCGCGCGCGUGUGUGCGGGGUGUGCCGUGAGCGUGUGCCCGCGGUUCGGGGGAUGAGUAGGGGCGCUGACUUUUAGGACCAGCCAUUUGAGUCAAGCUGGAGACGACGUCUUAGAACCUAGGAUGAGUCUCGUUUGGUUUUAGUCUGCAAAGCUCGUCUGCAUCAGACAGGAAUUUUCCCCAGACGCGGGUGCACGUGAAUUAAUUCAUCAGAAGGCGGUUCACGGCCUGAGUGAGGGGGACGAGGGCGGCGAAUUCCUCCGCCUCAUUCCUACCCUGACGAUUCGAGCCUUAGCAAGUUCUGGCCUGUGGAGCCGUCAUCCAGAGCGCACAGCUUCAUGCCCUUGAAGGGCGCAGUGUGUCCCGUGGUGCCCGGUGGGCCCGGACAGAGACCCCAGAGGCUCUGUCUGAAGGAAGCUGCACCCACAGACUCCAUCCAGGCAGCGCGGGCGCGGUCCUGUCGCCUACCUUUCUCGGAAGCCAUCUGCCCAUGUGAAUCUAUGUGAAGGCCCUUCAUGCGCUCCUGGACAUCUGCGUGGGAUUUACUUCAACUGCUAUCGCUGCGAGGAGGACGAGCAUGUUUCACUGUAUUUUUAGCAGAGAGUGCAGAUUUUAGAACCUCGCGAACGGUCCUGUAUCUCCUGCACGAUGACUCUCCAGAACAGGAAUAGUGACCCUUCCUUUGCAUUUAUGGUGCAUAGGUUUUCAAAGGACAGUGUGUAAAUCAGCUUGUGUAAUAAUUGUGGCACCCACGCGCGCAAGCAGACUUACCAUGAGCUGACUUCCACUGAUUAUUUCAGUUUCCAGGGAAACGAGGUUUGCAGCCCCCUCCAGUGAGGGCGGAGCGGCCUCUCCAUUCCCAAUGCAGCAAGGCUGCUGCAGCCACGAUGAUUAGGCUUUGGAGGAGGAAGUGAACGGAUGGGGCCUCAUCCUCCUGCCUCCCUAAAGGGUGAGGGUGGAAGGAUGGGGCUGUGCCCUCUUAGGGCAGGGAAAAACAGCUUGGAGGGGUUUCUGCCAUCAGAGAUCCCAUAGGAGGCAGGUCAGUCCUGCAGAAUUUCUCCCCAGUCUGGCCUCCAGCCUCCCUGGCCCCUUUCUAGAGGCCUCCAUCCCACUGGCGGCUUGCUCCUGCCACCGGGCCUCUGCACAGUCACCUCCUGCAGCCUGGGGUGUGUCGCCUCUCCACGUCCUCACCGGCGUCUGCCUUUGCAUUUCCCAGAUGCUCGCUUCACCCCACUGAGAUGUAACUCAGUUUUGUGGGAUCCCACUGCCCUCCAGGUGCCGCUCCGAGUGCUCUACACAGAUUUUCAUUCAGUCCUUGCGGCACACGAAGAGUGGCUGUACCAUUUUGCAUUCCCAGACCGAAGUGUGAAAGCUCCAGAUGCCCCACGCCCUCACCAGCCCACGGUGUUGUCAGCCUUAAUAGUGCUGACCAUUCUGGUGGGUUUGCAGUGUAUCUCAUUGUGUUUUAAUUUGCAUUACCUUGACAACUAAUGGCGUUGAGACUUUCAUAUAUCUUUAGUAAAGAGUCCUUCCAAAUCCUCUGCCGAUUUUUUAAAAAUUGGGUUGUCUUCUUGUAAUUGAGUUGUAAGAAUUCUUUAUACGUUCUGAACAUGUUAUUUAUUGGAUAAAUGUUUCGCAAGUAUUUUCUCCCAGUCUUUGACCUACUUUUUCAUCUUCUUAUCAAGAGCUUUUAAAAAGCAAAACUUUACAUUUUGAUGACAUCCAAUUAUUACUUUUUUCUUUUAUGUUUUUUGUGUAUUAUUUAGGAAAUAAUUGUCUGAACCAAGAUUACAAAUAUUUUCUUGUCUUUCAGAAGUUUUGUGGUUUUAGCUCCUAAGUGUACAUCUGUGAUCCAUUUUGAAUUAAUUUUUGUAUAUGGUAUGAUGUAAUGGUCAAGGUUUUUAUUUUUGCAUAUGGAUAUACAGUUGUUCCAGUACCAUUUCUUGAAAAUAAUUACCAGUACCAUUAAGUUACCUUGGUACUUUUAUUGAAAAUCAAUUGACUCUCAGUUCUGACCCAUCGACUUAUAUGUCUGUUUUUUUUUGUUUUUUUUUUUUUUUUGAGAUGGAGUCUCACUCUGUUGCCCAGGCUGGAGUGCAGUGGUGCUGUCUGGGCUCACUGCAACCUCUGCUCCCAGGUUCAAGCGAUUCUCCUACCCCAGCCUCCUGAGUAGCUGGAAUUACAGGCAUGUGCCACCACACCCAGCUAAUUUUUGUAUUUUUAGUAGAGACGGAGUUUCACCAUGUUGGUUAGGCUGGUCUUGAACUCCUGACCUCGUGAUUCACCUGCCUCGGCCUCCCAAAGUGCUGGGAUUACAGGCGUGAGCCACCGUGCCUGGCCAUGUCUGUUCUUAUGCUAACAUCACAGUAUCUGGAUUAUUGUAGCUCCAUAAUGAAUGCUGGAAUCAGGUAAUGUGAGUCCUCCAACAUUUUUACUCUUUUUCAAAAUAAUUUGACUAUUUUAGGUCCUUUGCAUGUCCAUACAGAUUUUAGACUCAGCUUGUCAAUUUCUACCCAAAAAUGUCUGAUUGAGAUUGUAUUGAACCUAUAUCUUAAUUUGGGGAUAAUUAGUAUGUUAGCAAUAUUGAAUCUUCUAACCUACAUUUACUUAGUCUUCAUUAAUUUAUCUCAUCAAUAUUUUGUAGUUUUCAGUGCACAGGCUUUGCACACAUUUUGUUAAAUUUCCCUAUAAGGAUUUCAUAUUUUUAUAUUUUUCAUUUUGUAAAUGUUAAUUUAAAGGAAUAAGACACCCUCUUUUUUUUCUUUCUUUUUUUCUGGUUUUUUUGUUUGUUUGUUUGUUUUGUUUUUAUAGAGACAAGGUCCCACUAUUUUGCCCAGGCUGGUCUCGAACUCCUGGGCUCAAGCAGUCCUCCCACCUCAGCCUCUCAAAGUGCUGGGAUUACAGGCAGGAGCCACCACACCUGGCCAGAUACCCUCAUUAGAUUUUUGUGUCUAUUCUGAUUUCUUUAAAGUAACAUUUACUUUAAUAAAUGUUACUAUAUAAACAUAUAGCAUUAAUAUAAAAUUGUUUGUUACUGGUACAUAUAAAUACAAUUAACUUUUUAGAUUGCCCUCUUACCCUGUGACCUUGUUAAAUUCACUAAUUCUAGCAGCCGCUUUUGUGUAUUUGGUAAGAUUUUCUACAUAGACAAUCAUGCCACAGGUAAAUAGAACCCAUUUUACUGCUUCCUUUCCAAGCUGCAUGCUUUUUUUUUUUCUUGCUUUAUUGCAUUGGCUAGGUCCUCAUGCAUAAUAGUGAAUAGAAGUAAUGAGAGUAAACACCCUUGCCUUGUUUCUUGUCUUAGUGGGAAACCAUUUGGUCUUUCACCCUUAAGUAUAAUGUAAGCUGUAGUUUUUUUGUAGAUGCCUUUUAUCAGGUUGAAAUCUAUUUCUGUUUUGAGUGUUUUUAUCAUGAACCGUUGAUGAAUCUUGUCAAAUGCUUUUUUCCUCGUCUUUUGAGAUUAUCAUAUGGUUUUUCUUUUUCAGCCUGUUAAUAUGAUGAAUUACACUGAUUCAGUUUCAAAUGUCCAACCAAGCUUGCACUCCAGAGAUGAAGCCCACUUGAUCACAUGGAUUAUUCUUUUAAUAUAUGAUGGAUACGACUUGGCUGUUCUUUUGUUGAGGAUUUUUGUGUUUAUGUUAAUGAGGAUAUUAUUUGUAGUUUUCUUUUCUUGUAAUGUUUUUGUCUUUGUUCAGUGUCAGAGUAAUGCCAACUUCAUAAAGUGAGCUGGGAAGUACUCCCUCAUUUUCUGUUUUCUGUGAAAGAAUUGUAUAGAAUUGAUGUUAUUUCUUCCUUAAGUGUUGAGUAGAAUUCACUUGCAAAGCCAUCUGAGGUUGACAUCUUCUUUGGGAAUGACUUUAGCUAUAAAUUCAAUUUAUUUAACAGAUAUAGGGCUAUUAAGGUUAUUUAAUUUUUUUCUUGAAUGAGCUUUAGUGUCCUGUGUUUUUCAAGGAAUUUUUCCAUUUUAUUUAAGUUUUUAGAUUUGUUGGCAUAAAGUUAUCCCAAUAUUUCCUUAGAAGUUGUGACUUUUACUGCAUAUAAAACAUACCUCAAUAAAGCUAAUACAUACAUAUAUAUAUAUGAAUCAUUUCUGGCCAGGUACAGUGGCUCAUGCCUGUAAUCCCAGCACUUUGGGAGGCAGAGGCAGGUGGAUCACCUGAGAUCAGGUGUUCCAGACCAGCCUGG